rnacentral:rRNA from 1 species
CCCUUAGAUGUUCUGGGCCGCACGCGUGCUACACUGACCGGCGCAACAAGUUUCUUUCCUUGGCUCGAUAGGCCUGGGUAAUCUUUGAACGCCGGUCGUGAUGGGGAUAGAUCCUUGCAAUUUUUGAUCUUCAACGAGGAAUUCCUAGUAAAUGCGAGUCAUCAUCUCGCGUUGAUUACGUCCCUGCCCUUUGUACACACCGCCCGUCGCACCUACCGAUUGAAUGGUCCGGUGAAAUCUCGGGACGGCGGCUUGGUCGCUUGCGUCCGACUGCUGAAACUUGAUUAAACCAUAUCAUUUAGAGGAAGGUGAANUCGUAACA